CUUGUUUACCAACGUCCCAAUACAUCUCUGUGCAACCUUCCCGGAUCACUGGGGCCCAAGAAUCUCUCAACUUCCACGUGCUCUUGGACCCCCUUCCUGGGGAUUGCAAACUGUGGGGCCCCAAGAGUGAUCCAGGUCCGGCUGUUAACACCACUCUGAAGAAGGGCCAGCCCACAGCUGGCAACCGCUGGCUCGUAGGCUGCAAGCCAUGGAAGGCGUGGGGUUUGGGAAAGGGAGCGUGCAGAGUGUGGGAUCCCGGCCUCUUGAGACGCCUUCUCUUAGAGGUUGGUGCUGUCAUCUUCAGUGAGAAGACAACCUGGGACACACCCAGGUGAGGCCCAAAGAAGUUAUUCUACUUGUGCAAGGUUUCAAAAAUGAGGAAGCAACAGAGUUAGAAUUCCAAUUCAAGUCUGACUCCCCAAACCAUCUCUUAAGCAGGAGUUGGCAAACUAUGGUCUGUGGGCCAAGUCCUACCUGC